rnacentral:rRNA from 1 species
GAUGAACGCUAGCUACAGGCUUAACACAUGCAAGUCGAGGGACCGGCGCACGGGUGAGUAACACGUAUCCCACCUGCCCUUUACUCGGGGAUAGCCUUUCGCAAGACAGAUUAAUACCCGAUGUCAUGGUUGGGGAUGCGUUCCCUUAGGUUGUUGGUGAGGUAACGGCUCACCAAGCCUUCGAUGGCUAGGGGUUCUGAGAGGAAGUUCCCCCACAUUGGAACUAUGACCCGGUCCAAACUCGUACGUGAGGCAGCAGUGAGGAAGAUUGGUCAAUGGGCGGUAGCCUGAACCAGCCAAGUAGCGUGAAGGAGGAAGGCUUAUGGGUCGUAAACUUCUUUUAUAGAAGAAUAGGGAUUAGAAGAAUAAGGAUCGGCUAACUCCGUGCCAGCAGCCGCGGUAAUUC